GACGAACGCUGGCGGCGUGCCUAACACAUGCAAGUCGAACGAAGUGGCGAACGGGUGAGUAACGCGUAAUCAACCUGCCCUUCAGAGGGGGACAACAGUUGGAAACGACUGCUAAUACCGCAUACUGAAGGAGGGGAUUGCGUCGGUUUAGCUAGUUGGCGGGGGAACGGCCCACCAAGGCGAUGAUCAGUAGCCGGUCCGAGAGGGUGAACGGCCACAUUGGGACUGGGACACGGCCCAGACUCCUACGGGAGGCAGCAGGUGGGAAACUUCCGCAAUGGACGAAAGUCUGACGGAGCAACGCCGCGUGAGUGAUGACGGCCUUCGGGUUGGAAAGCUCUGUUAAUCGGGACGCGGUACCGGAAUAGAAAGCCACGGCUAACUACGUGCCAGCAGCCGCGGUAAUAC
rnacentral:rRNA from 1 species